ensembl:lncRNA
AUGCUUCGGGGUGGCACCUGGGGUGGCCAGUCUGGUUGGGGGGGGUGGCCUGGACACGCCACUGAGCCAAGCAUAAUUAUUCACCUCUCGUGUGUGGAAGGAAGUCUGUGGAGUGCUCAGUCUUUUAUCCCCAGUUUCAUCCCUAGACUAAUGGAAAAACUGAGCAUCCUAACCACCUGCACUGAGGCCGCUCUUUGCUGUGUUGCAUCAUCCAAGCAGUCAACAUGGAGAUCUCACCUGCCCUGGGUUGAAUAUACACACAACCACAUGACAUCAUCUACAACUCUGCUGUCCCUGUUUGCAUCCCCAGUCUGCUACCAACCUCUACUUUCUCCAGAUGCUCUUUGUUUCCUCUGUACAGGAUAUCCAUCAUUUCCAUGUCCCCCAGCUGAAGCAUCAAAUGGCGUGAGAGAUGCUUGGUGGACUGUGAAGGGUAUGGCCUGGUUGCUCCAACCUGGACAAACAUUACAACUUUGUAUAAUCUGAAGACUCCAUACAUUUUGAUGUCAUUACUUCAGCUUCAUUUCUGAGAAAUCUGGUGUUGUCUGAUGAUCAAAACUAAAACCCUUGAAACUGGUCUUGUGCAUAAACAGCUGCAGAAAUAAAAAAAAAAAACACGGAUUAUGAUUGUGUUUUAAGAUAUAACAAUAAAGCUUAGCUUCCACCCACUCGUAGUGGCCAUGGAUGAGAAAGACACAAACCAUGUAAACACAAUUUUCUUACCCUCUAAAAAAUGCCUUCUUUGUAAAAAGUGCAGUGGAAAGGGGAGAGAGUCAUUAGUCCCCUCAUAAUCACCUGUCCCCUCAGCACCACCGCUCCACUGCCACAAACUUAUAUUGAUCUUAUCUGAAAAAUAAACCAAUAAAUGUAGAAAUACAACAUCUUGAAAUACUUUAUUUAUCAAACACAAACCGUCGCUAAACCUAAUAAAUUCUUGAAAGGUUUACAACAGACCGGGCAAAAAUCUCCAUAGUCCUGAAUGCACUCCACUGAUUCCAGAAGCCAGAACUUGAGCUGUAAACUGGGAAUCAAACGAGGCUUUUAUGGAGAUCUCAUGUGGGAUAUGUGGUCUUUGUCUCUGUAUACUGACCUACAUGCUUAGCUAGCUGCACAGUCUGAAUUCUUUGAGCUGGUUGCAACAGUCUUCUUUAAAACCAAAGAACUGUCUCUUGUUUACUAUUCACUUUCUGCCCUUCUGUAUCACCUGAGCUGCAGAACAUGGAAAAGUAGUUUAUCAGUGCUGGCAUUCAGCGUGGGCUUUUCACACACCAGGUGUAAAAGAAAGACAAAUACACCUGCCUUCGAUUGCCGGUCAUUUUCAUACCCAACCUGCACCAGUGGUUGGUUUUGCAAGCCUCCAGGGCUAGCAUCAGCAGCAAAUGGCACUGAAAGAUGGCAAACACGGUAUUGUGUAUAUGUGUAAAAUCAUAUCUCAAAGGCCACAGCUGUGUUUAGAAUGUGUUAACGUGUCAGGUAAGUGUGAUUCAUACGCUUUUUUGAAUCAGUAUGGAACCGGUGCUCUCUCACUAUAUUCCAAGCGUCCUAUUCCCCAUAGUCAAAUUAAAAAACAAAACCUAAUGUGAGAUGUUUUUGCUGUGAUUUUUGGACUUUUUGGAAGUCAUCAUGUGUUUGUUAUUUUUCCACAUUCCCCCAAUCUUUAUGGAAAUUAAAUAUUUAAUAAUUGAUUGGUUAUUCAGACUGACAGAAGACAAAGUGACUGUGAGAGGAUUUCCAGAAACUAAUGAGUCAAGAAACGUUAUGGUCCAGGGUCAGUGAGCCAGGGUGUUGGACUGUUCUGUCUUUGGGGGUUAAUACUAAGUUAAAUUGUUGUCUGUGGGUGAUGCAUGUUUGGUUUUGUGGUACUUAAUUAAUUUCUCUUUUGAUCAUUUCGUUUUUCUGUGAAGUUGUAGCUUUUAGUUUCCUAGUUAU